GGAGGGGAUGUGAGGUCAGGGGACCUGCCUGUUACCAGCUGUAAGAUCUUGAUGAACCAGAGGUGAUAACAGAGGCCCUUCCUGGAACUGCUGUGAGGAGUAAAUGAGAUAAGAACGUGGAAGUGAAGCACAGGUGUCAGUUAUUAAUGAGAGUCUGUUAACCUAAUAGACACCACUGACUGAGCUCUUACAACUGCACGGGACGAGGGCUUCACUUCACUAGCCUGGCCUCCUUUAAUCCAAUAAUCGCACAAAGAGGGCCCUGUAAGUAUCUCUAUUUAUCAAAUGAAGAAACUGAAGGCCAGAGAAGUCAUGGAACCUACCCCAGGUCACACAGCUGGUCAGUGGCACAAUGUGGAUUUGAACACGGGCUCUUGGUCACUCUGCGGUGCUUUCCUCUAUGCAGCAGUCUCUGUGUUAGCCACAGAGAUGUGAAAGUGGCGAUCUUGUGGGGUCGAGACUGCAGAGCGCACAGCUUGGCUGUAACACACACCCACAAAGAUGCUACGAGAGAGAAAUGCUGGAAGAGCCAUGAGAAGCUGGGAUUGGAAAGGGGUCACAAUCUCCCCAGAAGAGGUAACGCAUGAACUGAAUGUUGAAAGAGAAGCAGGAGUUUGUCCAGCAAAGAAAAGGGAAAACCAAGCAAAAUCUCAGAUUGCCUUGGGACCCUGAAUGACCCAACUCACACUGUGCCAGGGGCAGCUGCCACCGUCCGGCUGCCUGACACAGAGUGAGUGGGCAUGGGAGCGGUCACUAGAGGGCAGGGACCCAUGUCACCCGUCUCUGCACACCCAAAGCCUGGCCCAGAGUGGGUGCUCAGGGCCCGUUCGUGGACUUGAACUGAGUCCAUGGAAACACACCUGGUAGAACUCUUGAAGACGUCGCCUGACAUCCUCACUUCGCGGGCAGCCGACUGAGACCUGCCAACAAACAAAAAUUCAACUGAGUAAAUUUAAAGAUCGAAUCGGCUUUAUUAAAUGAUUCAUGAAUCUGGCAGCGUCCCAUCCAGCAGGUAGAGAGGAGCUCCAAAGGGUGACAGAGAAGGAAAGGUUUUUAAAGGCGGGACAAGGAAGUCAUAAACAGAAAAAAGGAUUAUUUCAGGUGAGGUCAGCUUCCUUUGGGGGACAAGAGUCUAUUCGGUGAAUUACCUCGUCUUCCUUUAGGGGAUGGGGAGGGUCCAUGGGACAGAUUACCUCGCUAGUGCUGACCAGAAAAUUCCAGACUGACCAGUUAAGAUUACACUCCUGGAAAAGGUUGGAACUGCAAUUAGUUUAGGUAUUAAGCCCUGGUUUGGUGACAUGUCUUAGCAUAAGUGACUCCAUAUUGGACCUGUGGUUUUCUUUUUAACAGACCCAGAGAGGGAUAGAAUGAGGGAGACUUCAAGUUCCAUGUGUACCCUGGCCCAGAGGGUCCCAAGGCAACGGGAGCAGGAAGGAAGUAGAACGGAGUCAGGGGAACAGGCCUUCAGUGUGAACUGGGCUUGGGCUGGAGGGCUGAGUUAAAGUGAUGACUGAGGACAGAAACUAUUAGAAGGAGGUCAGUUAGCAUGGAAGUUGUGGCCAGAUGGAGCUCAGAUUGAUUUGGGGCUCUGCCCCCCACUGGCUACAUCAGCUUGGACAAAUUAAAUUCUCUGAACCUCAGUUUCCACAUUCGGAAGACGGAGAUAACAGGGUCCAUCGUAGGGGAAACGAUGCAAAUAAAGACGUCAGCACCUGCCUGGGACAUAGUAAGUGCUCAAUAAAUAGUGCUGAUUCCGGGGUCCCAGUUACACUUUUUUGCUAAUGCCCAUCAGUAGCCUAUUGAGCUGACUCCCCUCCUGGCCCGUCUUCCUGCUGUCAGAACCUCUCCCAGGAACUCAGAAAUUCUGCAAAAUUGGUGAGACUCAGUGGUGACUCAGCACCACUGAAAUGGCCUAAAAUGUCACAUUAAAUAAGAGAGGAGGCAGAUGUAGAUGGAUCUCGGUCUGUGAAAGAGUUUGCUUUCACCAACAGGUGUGGGCAGAAGACUCAUUGGAGAGUGGCCCCCAGCACCCCCUAUUUGAAAAAGGUAAGCCCACUCAGAAGUGGGCCCCCUGCAUAGUCCUCAGUACCCAUAGGGUCUCUGAAAAACAAAAAUAUAAGUUCCAGGAUUUUGCCAGGGAGCACGGACACUGCCUGUUGUGGUCUACUGAAAACAAGACGGGGGGAGGGUUCAUUUUAGAAACUUGCCCACGAAAAGUUCCCAAGGAUGCAUCCAAAACAGAGGUGAGCGCGUAGUUGGGUUGUUUUGCCAGCAACUCCCCACAAGCAGUCACUUUCCCCCAAACCAUGCCUUCUCGAGGAUUUGUAAGUCGUCUCUUCCAUACUUUGCCCAGGAAGAAAGUAAAUAUUUUUUCAAUGAAAUUCAGCAAUCAAUUAAACACCGGCUCUCCUUAAUAUGAACGUUGAACCAACAGCGGCUGCACAUUCCAACAAGAAUAUUUAAAGCAAUUAAACUUUAGCUACUUCUAAAACAAAUUCUUUUAAAUGCUAAUGACCAUUGUUUUCGUACUUGAUAAGUAAAAUUUUGUGUCGAGCAAGGUUAGAUGAUUGCAAUGAUUUAAUUGUACUUCUCAAAGAAAGGAAAAUGUUAAGAAAAAAGCUAAGAUGGACCUCUUACCACAUUCCUACCGCAAAAUGUCCUGUAACAAUAGAGCCGUGAUUUGCUGAAAUUAAAAUGCUAUUAUGGUGAAAUUAGGGCUUCAAUAUUUUUAGCAGCUUUAAUAGGCCUUGCAUUUUAAGGGACAUCUGAUAAUAGAUAAUUACAUUUCAUCUUAAAGAAACUGAGUUGUUUUCUUAAGGAAAAUACUUUUCUUUCUUCCAGAGAGGUUAAAGCUGAGCCAUCAUUAGAAGCAGCACCCAGCUCGGGUUCCUGCUUCAGCUUGGGAAAUAGAGAUUAGCAUAUAAAUAGCCUUCGGUGCCUGCUUGAUUCCAGCUAUUUUGCGUUUCAAUGUGGCAUCAGAAUGCACUUAGCAAGAAAUGUUCGAGAGGAGAAAGAGGUUUGUAAUAUGUCGCUUUUAUAGAGGGGGGAACUUUAAGUAUAAAAGAUCAUCCACUCCUUGUGGGCUUUUUUUUUUUUUUUGUAUCCUUUCAAUGCCCCAAUUACAGACUCCAAGGAGCCAACAGACCCCCUAGAACGGAGCCUUAGUUUACGAGGCAGCUCUUUCUUCGGACCGGGAAAAUAAGUCAAAAUGGUGCACAGGAAGUAAGAUAAAUACGCGGGCUUCCUCCCGGAUCCGGCUGGAGCCCUGGGGGGCACAGUCGUGCCCUGCUCCUCCCCCCCACGCCACCCAUCAGCAGAGGGACGUUGGACAGCUCCUCCAGGACCCGUCUGCUGGAGCAGUGAGAGCGAGUGCUGGCUUUCUGCCUGGAGGGCGAGUUCCCUCCUGGGAAAUUGCAGGGACUGGGCGCCGAGCCCGGGGUUCUUUCUGCCCUCUUCAUUCCACCCCCACCCCUCCACGCACGCAUGCCCGCGUUCCGGCUGCCUCUGGGUCAGGCUGAGUCUUGGGCUGCAGCAAGAAGAUUCUUAAAGCCCACACUUUCUCUCCUUUGGCACAAGGCAGUUGGACAGCUCUGAGAUGAAUGGGGCUGCACAGCUGUCGGGGGUGACACAGUUUUCCCUGGAUGUGGCCGUAGCAGAGGAGCUCAGGUCAAGCAGGUGGUGGCCCCUAGUCCAGCUCCUGGGGUGGCUUGGACCAACCCCGAGCCCUGGGUUCUAGUCCCGGCUGCCCUGUGAACUUGUGAUGGACGCAUCAGACAAGCUCUAAGCCUGAGUUCCUUCAUCUGUGAAAAGGAGAAGUACAAACGCUGCCCUGUCCGCUCGCGGGGCUAACAUAGGCAACAAAUGAGAAAAUGGACGUGACAGAACUUGGUAAGCUCCCUCCCCUGUUAGCAUUGUGUUAUUAGGCUGUUGGUAAGGUUUUGUCCUGGAUAGUCUGUCCUUUUGUCCAUCCACCCUAGCAACUCACCCAUGCUCCCAGGGCUCUGCCCAACCCGCUGACCUGAAGUAAGAGGGGUAAGGAGUAAAUAUUUUUUCAGGAAACCAGUUAGGAAAUGACAGCCCCCUCAGCUCUCAGCCCAAAGGCACCCGUUUGGGUUGUGUGAAGACAGGGCUGGGGCUUGCGUUGCAGAUAGACCUGGGCAUCAAGUUCCUGCCUCACCACUGGUAGCACCUGAGGCAUGUCGUCUGCUCCCUGAGUCUUAUCUUCACCGAUAAUGCGAGCCGCCUUCCAGGGAUGUUUUGAGACUCAAAGUGGAAACCUGAUGGAAAGUCCUUCAGGAACUGUAAAGUGUGGGGCAAUUGUUUACUUCUUGUCCUUCUGGCCUGCACACAGAGUAAGCACUGUGCCCUGGAGCCCCACAGCAAGAUGGCUGGGCUAGGGUACCGGCAGCUUGUUCCAUCCCGCCUCAUCCCAGCAUCACGCCCCCAAACCUAGAAGCCCUCACAGCGGGACAGUGUCCUGGUGAGCCCAAGGCACUCCUUGGUGUAUGUGACAUUGCCCAGGCUGAGCAGCGGCCCUCUCAGCCUCCACCAUGGCCCACAGACCCUAAGGGCACUGGCUCUCUGGGAAGGUCACCUUUACUUCCACGACAAUCCUUGUAAGCGGAGGAUUCUAACCCGGCUACAAUGGGAGCCCCUCACCUGGGCUCCUCAAUGGGAAAGUUACCAACGUGCAAAAUCUUUCUUUCUUUCUCCCCCCGUGCUGCAGCUUCAAAUACUCACUGCUCAAAGAAGAAUCAUGCUGAUUCUGGACUUCACGCAUGAAGCCUAGGUUUUCAUCCCAAAACGCUAUGUUGGAACAAAGGUGACUCCUUAUGAGGAGACCUGAAGGGUGACUCAAUGUGCUGGCACAGUGGGGUGGAGACCGCAGUGGGCUCUGGCAAGAGUUCUGGGUCCUGGUCCACUCUCUGCUGCUGACCUUGGAUGAUUUCUUUCCACUGUGUGACCCACUCUAUAAGGUGAGGUCCCUGCAUCAGACAACCUCCAGGGGCCCUUGAUGCUCAAAUUUCCAUUCCUUCCUAUAUUACUGUUCUCCUGGGUUUCCUCUGGCCAGAGUGCUCUUCUCUCUAGCUGAGAUACUCAACAGCAUCUGUCUUGCCAACCCAGGCAACUAUAGUAUCAGCUUCCAUUUAGAGCAUCUUCUAUUAUCCCCAGUUGAUACAUUAGAAAAUCAAGGCUCAGAGGAGUUGACUGGCUGACCCAUAGUCACACAGCUGUGAGAGAGGAACCAAGCUUCAACCUCAAGCGUCGACUCAGCUUCAGAGCCUGUGUUCUUAAUUAUCACACACUGUGGCAUUUUCCUGUGUCACUGCCUAGUUACUGUUUAUAAAAAUCACACAGCUAUAAGUGAGGAACCAAAAUUCAACCUCAGGCUUCAACUCAACUUCAGGGGCACGUUCUUAAUUAUCACACACUGUGGCGUUUUCCUGCAUCAUUGCCUGGUUAUUGUUUACAAUCAACGUGACUGUAAGACAGUCUAUGUCUCUCAUGCCUCAAAUUAUUUACCAAGACUUGACACAAAGAACACUGAUUCUACUGAAUGUUAAUCCUCGAAAAAAUAGUUUUCAUGAUCAAGUGAGUUUGACAUUGAGUAAAACAAGUAAACAGUUUCUCUUUAACUGCAAGACUUCUCAGAGCCUUUAAGAUGUGAGUAAGGUGCAUUUUAAAUCUACUAGAGGGGAUAGAGUAUACAAUUUUCCCCAAAGCUCUUUGUCCAUAGACCUCCUCCCUUUUUUUUUUUCCCCUUUGAGAAACUUGUGUUCCACUAAAAGACUAGGGUUCUACAAUUUCGCUACUCAAGCAUGAGACUGUCCCCAGACAGGCAACAUCAGGUGUCACCUGGAGCUAGUUAAAAAUACAGAAUCUCAGACCCUGCCUAGACCUGCCAAACCAGAGUCUGCAUUUUAAUAAGAGGCCCAGGUGGUUCGCGUGCCCAGUAAAGUUUGAAAAGCCCUGGUCCACGCUACACGUUUAGGGAAACAUGGCUUGAUGCAAGAGCAAUCAAGCCAUAAAAUCCAGUGGUGAAAAAAGUAUCAAGCACUAUUUGGCAUCACGUGGACCAAAUGACUAGAUUUGGAAUUAAGUCGAGGUGCUGUAACAUCACACAGAAUCCAAGAGAAUUCCCACAAUGUAAUGUUUCUCCCCAUUCCUAAUGGGAUGUCAAAAUUGAUAGAGAUGGAAGGAUGAUCAAUACCCUUUGCUAAAGGCAUUCCUAGAAUUCGGACAUGGAAAGCAUUGCAUUCCUCUUCCUAAAGUAUGAAGAUUUUUUAAAAAUUUCAGCUUUAUUGAGGUAUAAUUGACAUAUAAAAUUGUAAGAUAUUUAAAGUGUACAUUGUGGUGAUUUGAUAUACAUAUGCAUUGUGAAAGGAUUCCCCCCCUAGCGUUAGUUGACACCUCUAUCACUUCACAUAUUUAUCUUUUCUUUUUUACGGGAACAUUUAAGUUCUACUCUCAGUAUAUUUCAAUUAUACAAUUAUCAACUAUAGUCGCUAGGUCUUACAUUAGAUCCUCAGACCUUGUUCAUCUUAUAGCUGAAAGUUUGUACCCUUUGACAAACCUCUGCCUAUUUCCUCCACCCCCAGCCCCUGGCAACCACUUUUCUCUCUCAAUCAUAGAAGUAGGCGAGGUUAUGGGCAUCCCUGGGUUAUCACCUGGGAUAUUCUUGGGAAAUGACCCAUUGGUCCCUAAGCCUGGCAUCUCAGCAGACAGCCUCAAGGUUACAAAAGCUUGUCUCAAGGUUUUAAAAAUCACAGCUGAAAUGACCCAUUCAUGCAAGAUAAGACCUAUGCCUGCAGAAAACUGCCUUUGCUUUUGGCUGCAAUUAUUUCAAUUCAUGUGGUCACACUCUCUCAGGCUGACCUGACAUUUCAAGCUGUAGUUUGAUAUAUCUUUGCUCAACACAAGAUAGGGAAGCAAAUUAGACUUAACUUAAUUACUUCAAUGUUUUGGGGAGACAAAAAGUUUUCUAAGUCUGUGAGCAGAGAGGUUCACUAAGCGGCCCAAAGACACAGAGCUUGUAAGUGAUGACAGAUCUGUUGACUCCCAAGUCAGGACUCUUUCCAGUGCAGAGGCAACCCAAGGACACAUGUGUGUUUUGUCACACUCUUCACAUUUGGCUCCUAAGGAGUUUACCCUUCCCUAAACCCUUCCUUUUAUAAUACAAAGCACCCCUGUCUCCCUCCGCACGUCCCCCCGCUCUACUCUGCCUUUGGGUUUAGAACCUCUCAUUCAUCUUUAUUGAAUUCCUUUCUUUAGGUGCUGCCCAAUGUACCACCUCGCUAAGAUUUUUUUUCCCAUUCUAAAUUGUCAUGCAAAUCAUCUUCUAGUGCUCUCCACAGCUAGGAUGACUCUACCUACCUCCCUUGUCACUGGAGGAAAGGCCUUGUCAAGGAUGGAGCUCCACAGCCCCCUCUGAGAAGUAGGUAACUAGUAACCUGUCAAUCAAUUUGGAUGCAUCUCCUGGCCAAAAUAUCUAAAAUGGAACUCCCAGUUCUUCCCCGAGUCUUCCCACGUGCAGUAUGGCACCGCCAUAAAUUUGGUUGAUGGGAGAAAAAAUGUCUGUUCCUUUUUAUUCUUCAUCCAUCGUAUCUUAUCUAUCAGCAAGUCCUUUCCACUCAACUUCCAAAAGAUAGGCUAAAUCCUGUCACCAGCACUGUCACCAGCAGGUCUAAAACAUUGUCAUCUCUCACCUGGACCACUGCAAGCAUCUCCUAACUACUCUUCUUCCUUCUACUCAUGCUCUCUCCGGUCACUUGCCACAAGGCAGCCAGAGCGGUCAGCCACUGAAACAGCAUCAGAUCACACCACUCCCUUGCUUAAAACCCUUCCCCUCUGGAAUGUAGGCUCCAUGAGAUCUAGGCCCCAACUUUCAUAUUCACCUGUGUAUCCCAGGUGCCAACUGUGUACCUAGCACAAAGUAGGUAUCCAGUAAAUAAUGCUUGCGUGAAUGAAUCAAGUAACGACCUUAGUUGCAAAUAACAAGAAUCUUCUGUUAUUUAUAUAAAAGUGGCCCUUACUCUUUUUUGGUUUUUCUUUUUAUUCUAACAUUGUGGUAAGUCUUCUCUAGUCUCUGAGAUGUCAACAUAUCUAGACUCUAAGCAAUUUAUUCCUCCUCUUUCCUCCAGCCAACAGAAGCAAAGUGAAAGGAAUUUGCAACUUACACACACAAAUGCGUCUCCCUUCAGUUAUGUUGCUUGAGAAUAGAUGGGAGAUUAUGCUGAUUGAACUGGACAUUUUCCAUUUUUAUUAUUUCAAUUAUAAACAUAAACUAUUGGGGGUAAAAAUCAAAUGGAAAUCUGCCUAUCAAUUUCACAAUUAGCAUCUCAUUUCAAGAGACCAAUCAACUCAAAUGAGGGCCAGUGACCUUAAUCUUUCCCCAAAUACAGUGCUUGAUUCCUCUUAUUAGUUGAAAAUCUCCAAACUAUGAAACAUUUGGGUUAACCCCAUGUUUGCAUCAAUGAUGCUAUUACCACAUUUAAAUAAGUCCGGGGAUUUUUGUGACCUUUGUGUUACAGUUUGUAUGGCUGAAAGCAGAAGACUAAGGCUGUGCAAAUCAAGGAGAAAUAACAAGGGCCUCUUUUUUCCUUUAUUUUUCUAAGACUGUGGAAGGAAGUGUGAUUUUUAGGAGACUUAUUUUGCCACCAAUUAGCUGAAAUUAAUCUAAGAGGAGAGUAAACCCCAGAAGUCAAAGGCAGCCAAUUUUAAUCAUGAAAGUCUGUUAAAAAUCCAAUCAGAAAAAAACAUUGUCUUUGUGAUAUAGGAGGCGGGAAAUCUGGGUUUUUAAAAAAGGAGAGAAAUAGGGGUUGGCCCUAUGGCCAACUGGUUAAGUUCUCGCGCUCCACUGCAGGUGGCCCAGUGUUUCAUUGGUUCGAAUCCUGAGCGCGGACAUGGCACUGCUCAUCUAACCACGCUGAGGCAGCAUCCCACAUGCCACAACUAGAAGGACCCACAACGAAGAAUAUACAACUAUGUACUGGGGGGCUUUGGGGAGAAAAAGGAAAAAAAUAAAAUCUUAAAAAAAAAAGAGAGAGAAAUAGAAAAAGAAACAUUUGACCUGGCAAACAAAGCAUCUACAGAACAUCAAUAUCCUUGCAGAGAUUAGAACAAGACCACGUGCUCUGCGGAAUGAACCCCCAACUCCUGAAACACCGAAGGCUCCACCUAGACACACACACAGGUACCAACCGACCCUUAGAACUAGACGGACCAGUUCCUAAUGGGUUUGUUAACAGCUAUCUGGAUAAUUUCUCUUUGGAGAAGACUUGGGGUGCACAAGAUACCAAAACUACCCAUGAAACAUUUCAAGGUCAGCCAGGAAGCUGCCAGUCUUGUCCACCUGACUCCAUUGAUUGAUGCGCAUUGAAUAGCUGCAUCCAAGUCUUUGCUGAGGUGACUGAUUUUUCUUCAACUUGGCUGCACUAAUAAUUGGCUGUUUGGGAUCUAUAUGGCUAGAAUUCUUAAGCUGCAAGAAAUAGACGUAAGCCAAGCUUAGGCAGGAAAGGGGAAUUCAUUAAGAGGAUGUAGGACGGUUCCUCAGAACUCAAGGGCACAAACAGCACCAGACCUCAAGAAAGACCUUGCUCCGUGUCUCCUUUCUGUUCUCCUCAGCACAUCUGCUUCUCCGUUCACAAGACUGAAGGAAAUGGCCACCCCUCGCUACCUACUUCCCAUGUGGUCUAUUCUAGAGACCAAUCCAGCCUCUACCGGAAUCUUUGGGUCUCAAAUUAUGAGCAGAAAGAAUCUGAAUCACCAAAUUUGGGUCAGGUAUCCAUUCUGACACAUUUGACCAUGGCCAAUGAGGGUGGGUCACAUGGCACAGACAUGGCACAUCCGUGUAGCCAAAGAUGAAGAGAGCAAUUCAGGAAGAUCAGUAAGAGCUGGGCAGAAUCCCCCAGAAUGUGUCCAGUAAAAGAUUGCGUUGUCACAACCAGAGACGACUGAACUAGCCUCACACACAGAGCCACAGCCAAGCCAAAUGAGUCCCAUUGAACCUCCGGUCACACCAUCUCCUCAGGGUGAGAGGCUGGCACCCGGUGGGGACUGCUGCUCUGUAGCUGCACAGCAUUCUGGGAGAGGAGCCCUGGCUCUCCUGUCUGAGAGCACCCUGCCUUCUUCUUCUUCAUACUGCUUGUCACAGUUUAUAAUCCUCCCUUUAUCUGUAAACUGAUUUAAUGAGCAUCUCUCUCCACCACUUGGCUUGAAGUUCUAUGAGGUCAGGUACCAUAUUGGUUUCACUUGCCUUCAUAUUCCUGGUACCGUGCCUGGCACACAGUGGGUACUCACGAAAGAAUACUGAAUGAAGGAAUGAAUGAAAGGGUUGCUGAAUGAAUGAAUGGAGUGAAGGAGGUCAGGUAAGUUUUUCCAGAUGAUUUGGUACAUGAGUUGCGUCUUGAAGGACAAACAAGAGUUUUCUAGGAGAACAGGUCGGGAGAGGGAAUGACAGGUACAAAUGUUACCAUGGAGACUGUGAGGCAGGUUUGGGCAAGAGAUCUGGCUAGAAAGGGGCUGUGGAGGCCAGCUAAUGGAUGGCCUUGUGUAGAAAUUGGAGGAUAAAGAGCUAGAAAGUAUAUUUCUAGAUUUUAGACAAAUCCAUCUGAUGGGAAGGUCGGGGCUGGAUUGGAGGCAGGAAGGUGAAUUAGGAAGUUUAUGUAGUCAUCCAAAAGAGAAAAGAAAUGGCAGUGGGAAUGAGGAGGAGCAGAUUUUAAGAGCUAUUAAGGAAGUUGAAUCAGCAGAAACUCACGGAAUGUAAUUUUCUCUGUUUUGUUACAUAGUUGUUUAUGCGCAUCUCAUCUCCCCUGCAAGACUGGGCGCUUCUGACUCUGUCUUCCUUAUUCCUGGGCUACCAGGGCUUGCACAGUGCCCACCCAACACACAGCAAUUUGUUGAAAAGAUAAACUCGCGAAUGAUUGAAUGAUGACCACUAACCAAGGGUAUCAACAGGAUGCGGGGGUUGGGGAGGGUGUGGCAGCAGGGUCCUCUGAGGGUUUCACAGAACCUUGCUUCUUCGAUGUUUAUCUUGCCUCCAGGACUCUUUAGAGUUCCUAACCUUCUUUUAUAUCCACCUCAACCUCCAGGACAGGCUUGGGCUCAGGGUAACAUCUCUGUCUAAUGACCUGAACUGGAAUAGACUGAAAUGGAAUGGAACGGACCUCCUAUUCUUCAGAAACUACCUAACACACAGACUUGAAGCUGAGGAAUGGCUGGCAGAACAUCCCCCUGCAAAGGCUGAGAGUAGAUGAGGCAGGAGCCUCGCUCAGGGCUUCUAGAAGGAUAACUUAAUCUAACUGAACCACCCCUUUCAGCUAAGUGCCGGGAGAAGGGAGAAUAAAACCCCUUCAAGUGACCAAAAACACUGGAACCCCUGGGCAAAGACCAGAAUCCAAAGCCUCACAGAGCCAUACUGAGCCCGAACUAAUACCAGAAGCUUCUGACCUUAGGAAAUGAUGCAAGUGAAUGAAGGGUUGUUCCCAGCUUUCUUCUCAGUAAGCAUCUGAUGAAUGAAUGAAUGGACGAACGAACUAAUAAAUGAAUAUUUUCUACCUAUUCAUGGCAAGUUUUAAAAAAAGAAUGAAGACUGGAAAUAGCUGAUUCUUUAGUGAAUAGAGAUAUUACAUUUUACCUAAGAAUCUAUUAUUUCCUUGAUCUAUAUUAUUUACAAGCUGGAAAACAGUUUAUUGCAAACAUUGGUUCCAUUUCAAUAAAAAGUCAUAUAUGGAAAUUGUAAGGUAACAGGAUCGUGUCAUACAGCCUGAUGCCCGCCUCACCCAGGACAAGCCUGGCCCUUCAUCCGUCACAGCAAACUACACUUUCACCUGGGCGUUCAUCGGGGGCAGCUCCUGGACAGGAGGCAGAACGCCCAGGUGAAAGAAUGAGCCCACAACUAUUUCAAGCCUGAUGGUUGGCCUUAGAAUUGCCACUGUCCUACAGUCAACAUUUCUGCAUAAUCACUUUGAUGGAAAUUCUCUAUACACACAAACCAGUUUGCCUGAAUUGAGCAUCAUGAAGAAGAAAGAGGAAAAGAUAGAGGAAAAAGCCACAUGUUGGGGGCCAGCCUGAUGGCAGAGUGGUUAAGCUUGCACACUCUGCUUCAGCAGCCCUGGGUUCGCAGGCUCAGAUCCCAGGCAUGGACCGAGCACCACUCGUCAAGCCAUGCUGUGGCAGCAUCCCACAUAAAAUAGAGGAAGAUGGGCACAGAUGUUAGCUCAGGGACAAUCUUCCUCAAGCAAAAAGAGAUGGCAACAGAUGUUAGCUCAGGGCCAAUCUUCCUCACAAAAAGAAGAAAGAAAGAAAGCUGCAUCUUAAAAAAAAAAAAACUACACUGCAGUAUAAAUAUUUUGGCAGGUUUUCUUAGAUCUUUUUGGUCAUGCAGGUUUCACUUGUAACCAUUCCCUCAUGGUACUGAAAACCUCUGCCAAAACAUCACUUUUAGCAGUUGCGUGAUAUUCCUUCAAGUACCUGAGUCCUGGCGUCCUUAACCAUUAUCUUCAUUUUGGGCCUGUCUCUGCAUUGUUAACUUAUACACAAUGCUAUCACGACUACCCCUGUGCACAGAGCUGUUUCCGUGUAUCAGGUGAACUAGCUGGGAGGAACUCUGGGACAAGUAAUUAAGGAAGAUAAUGGACACAUCUGUGCACUUUUUCCAAAAGAAGACAUUGCCUUUGCUCCCUGGACACAUUACGAGGCAGGACCAAGACCGUGACUUCUGAGUCUCUUCCAGCUUGAAGAACCACCUAAACCCAGGUUCCCCAUGAUUGGCCGCUUCAGAAUCGCAGGGGUGGGGCCCAGGCGUCUGUAUUUUUCAGCCCUCCAGGGGACAAACUACCUUGCCGAGUUCCACCCAGACAUCCCUCACGCAUGCACAGUUCCCAGAGGAAACUGUGGGUCAGGACUCUUCACAGGAAACGGCCGAAGCCAAUUAUAGGUGACUUAAGCGGCAAAGGGGGACUAACUGGUAGCUCACAGCACCAACGGGGAGCGGGCUCAAAAGCAGGUAGAAACCCAGAAGCCAGGAGGAGUCGGGGUACAGCACGCUGCCGCCCCUCCUGGAGCCGCCACCUCCACCUACUGGCCCUGUGGCCACCAGGAUGCAUUCUGAUCUGUCCCCUACCUCUGGGCAUCACUCACUCCACUACACUGGGCUAGAGCUACACUGGGCAAGAGCGCCUGGUUGGCUGAGCGUGGACCACACGCCCAUGCACAUGGGUACCUCACCCCCUUCCCUUCCUCUUUCCCUCUCACCUACACCCCCCCCCCCCCCCCCCGCCAUAGGAAAAGGAUUUGGCUACUAGGCAAUCCCAAAAGACAAAUAUUUUCUGUACACUCUGCUGACCUUUAUUACUUCAUUUGACUUCCACAAGAACCCUGCAAAGGUGGCCGGCCAGCAUGUAUUCCCCAUCUUGCCAACGAGGAAUCUGAGGCUGCGAGAGAGUGACUGGCCAAACUGAUGCUGAGGGUAGAGACAAGCUCUUUCCGCUACUCAGAACUACCUGCCUGUGGUCUGAUGCUGUGAAAUAUUGACAACGCCUGUCUCUCAUUUGAGCAGAGUUAUUGGAAGAGAAUCAGCUAUCACGAUGGCUAGAUACUAUACUUCAUAAACUUACUGAUCUGCCCAUCAUUUGUCUUAUUUGGUUGUUGUUGUUAAUACUUUUCGCUCCUGGAGAAAAUAUUCAGCUAGUGAGCUCAUCUGUUCUGCCAUUCAAUGUAUUAAAUUAACACCUCAACGCACGGUCUAAAACUUAGAGGUGAAAAAUUGGGUCCUUGCAGCCAAGACCAAAUAUCAUUUAUCUUAAGCUUGCAUAUUAGGGAGACUGUUUAAAAACGUGACUUUGAAAUUCCUUGGAAACAAAGGUGUUUCCUGCACUGUUUGGAGGACCGUCUUAGUUCAUUCGGGCUGCCAUAACAAAACACUACAGACUGAGUGGCUUAUAAACAACAGAAAUUUACUUUCUCGCCGUUCUAGAGGAUGGAAGUGCAAGAUCAAGGCACCAG
rnacentral:lncRNA from 1 species